rnacentral:rRNA from 1 species
AUUGAACGCUGGCGGCAGGCUUAACACAUGCAAGUCGAGCGGGGUGAUGGUGCUUGCACUAUCACUUAGCGGCGGACGGGUGAGUAAUGCUUAGGAAUCUGCCUAUUAGUGGGGGACAACAUCUCGAAAGGGAUGCUAAUACCGCAUACGUCCUACGGGAGAAAGCAGGGGAUCACUUGUGACCUUGCGCUAAUAGAUGAGCCUAAGUCGGAUUAGCUAGUUGGUGGGGUAAAGGCCUACCAAGGCGACGAUCUGUAGCGGGUCUGAGAGGAUGAUGCGGCACACUGGGACUGAGACACGGCCCAGACCCCUACGGGGGGCAGCAGUGGGGAAUAUUGGACAAUGGGGGGAACCCUGAUCCAGCCAUGCCGCGUGUGUGAAGAAGGCCUUAUGGUUGUAAAGCACUUUAAGCGAGGAGGAGGCUCUUUUGGUUAAUACCCAAGAUGAGUGGACGUUACUCGCAGAAUAAGCACCGGCUAACUCUGUGCCAGCCGCCGCCGUAA